UGCAAGUCGAACGGCAGCGCGGGAGCAAUCCUGGCGGCGAGUGGCGAACGGGUGAGUAAUACAUCGGAACGUGCCCAAUCGUGGGGGAUAACGCAGCGAAAGCUGUGCUAAUACCGCAUACGAUCUACGGAUGAAAGCAGGGGAUCGCAAGACCUUGCGCGAAUGGAGCGGCCGAUGGCAGAUUAGGUAGUUGGUGAGGUAAAGGCUCACCAAGCCUUCGAUCUGUAGCUGGUCUGAGAGGACGACCAGCCACACUGGGACUGAGACACGGCCCAGACUCCUACGGGAGGCAGCAGUGGGGAAUUUUGGACAAUGGGCGAAAGCCUGAUCCAGCCAUGCCGCGUGCAGGAUGAAGGCCUUCGGGUUGUAAACUGCUUUUGUACGGAACGAAACGGCCUUUUCUAAUAAAGAGGGCUAAUGACGGUACCGUAAGAAUAAGCACCGGCUAACUACGUGCCAGCAGCCGCGGUAAUACGUAGGGUGCAAGCGUUAAUCGGAAUUACUGGGCGUAAAGCGUGCGCAGGCGGUAAUGUAAGACAGUUGUGAAAUCCCCGGGCUCAACCUGGGAACUGCAUCUGUGACUGCAUUGCUGGAGUACGGUAGAAGGGGGAUGGAAUUCCGCGUGUAGCAGUGAAAUGCGUAGAUAUGCGGAGGAACACCGAUGGCGAAGGCAAUCCCCUGGACCUGUACUGACGCUCAUGCACGAAAAGCGUGGGGGAGCAAACAGGAUUAGAUACCCUGGUAGUCCACGCCCUAAAACGAUGUCAACUGGUUGUUGGGUCUUCACUUGAC
rnacentral:rRNA from 1 species